rnacentral:rRNA from 1 species
CGUGGAGACAGGUGGUGCAUGGCUGUCGUCAGCUCGUGUCGUGAGAUGUUGGGUUAAGUCCCGCGACGAGCGCAACCCUCACCCCUAGUUGCCACCGGGUUAAGCCGAGCACUCAAGGGGAACUGCCAGCGUCAAGCUGGAGGAAGGCGGGGAUGACGUCAAGUCAUCAUGCCCCUUACGCCCUGGGCUACACACGUGCUACAAUGGCCAGUACAAAGGGACGCGAGACUGCGAAGUGGAGCUAAUCCCAAAAAGCUGGUCUAAGUUCAGAUUGCAGUCUGCAACUCGACUGCAUGAAGGAGGAGUCGCUAGUGAUCGCGUAUCAGCCCGGCGCGGUGAAUACGUUCCCGGGCCUUGUACACACCGCCCGUCACACCACGAAAGCUGUCUGUACUCGAAGUCGCUGAG